UGGGAAGCCAUUAGUGGGUCUUAUGUAGGAAAUGAAUAUGGUCUGAUUUACAUAUGUAAAGGAUAAUUCUGAGUAUGUUAUGGAACACUUUGUAAAUAGGUAAAAAGAGAAAUAGGAAAAUCAGCUAUUGCAUUAGACUCAGUUAGAAGUGGCAGUGGUUUUGCUAGGGGUUAUAUAAAAGGAAGAAAACUUAAUAAUGUUAGGCCUGACUAUAGGUAGAAUCUAUAGUUUUUACUCAUGAAUUGGAUGUAAGAAUUGAGGAGAAACGAAGAACCAAGUAAAAAUUUUGAGCUUUGGCUUGGGAAACUAGGUAUAUGGUAACGCCAAAAAGAGAGAUGUAGAGAAUUGAUGUAGGAGCAAAGCUGGGCUGGGAAAUUGAGAAAAUUAUACCUGCCUUGUUAAAGUUGAAACACCCACAUGACACUCACCUGGAAGGAUAUUCACACUUGGAUUGUUGGGGAAUAAUAAGAACUAGAGAUACAGUUUGAGGGUCACUGGCAUAGAGAUAGUAAUUAAAACCAGGAUGUCAGUUAUAUCACCUAGGGAUAAUGCAAAGAGAGAGAAAAGCAGGAGAUAAGACAGAUCGAGCAGUGGGAGAAGCCGGCAUUGAAGAAUGAAGAGGAAAACCAGGCGUGUCUAGUGCCAUGAUGCCAAGAGAAAAACCCAGCUCCGAGAAGACAGGAGUUUGUUUGCUAAUGUUAUUGAGGGAUAAAGUAAAAUACGAAGAGAGAAGUAACUUGGACUGGCGGCAAAGCGAUCACCAGUGCUCCUUCUAACUGUGGUGUCGAUAAAGUAAUGUGGACUGGAUGAAGGAGCCUCGUUGGAAUAAACUCAUAUAGGAAUGAUGAUACCGUGUUUACCUACUAAUGGGAAUGACCCUAUUGAAGAGGGAACAUCACGUAUGUUGGGGAGCGGAAAAGUCAAAGUCCUCGAAAAGGAAGCACUUUGGAAACCAAUGGCUGAAAAGUUUGCUUUCUGUGAGAAGUGUAAAUCAAAGUCAUGUUUCUGUUUCCAGCAGUAGAGGAAAGAGAGAUAAACCUGAUGGACACAAGCAGGUAAAAUCUGCCCAAAAUGACUCUGGGGCUUGUUGAAAAAUUAACGCCUAUGAGAUCUGUCUCAUUCGAGGGCAAGGCAUGGCGGAUCACCUUUCCACAUCAGUGCCUGGGUCUGAUCUGCACCAUCUUUAUACGCUCAGCAGAUUAACUGGAGCCAUCUGAAGGAACCCUAUAACCAGGAGGCCGCUGUCCUCAGGGUUGAGCACCAUCUAUGGUCAUAUCAGGGAAACUGUAUAUUUCCCAGCCAGGAAUAAACAUUCUUGCUUUCAAGUCUCCCA
rnacentral:lncRNA from 1 species